GAUGAACGCUGGCGGCGUGCCUAAUACAUGCAAGUCGAGCGAACAGACGAGGAGCUUGCUCCUCUGACGUUAGCGGCGGGCGGGUGAGUAACACGUGGAUAACCUACCUAUAAGACUGGGGUAACUUCGGGAAACCGGAGCUAAUACCGGAUAAUAUAUUGAACCGCAUGGUUCAAUAGUGAAAGACGGUUUUGCUGUCACUUAUAGAUGGAUCCGCGCCGCAUUAGCUAGUUGGUAAGGUAACGGCUUACCAAGGCAACGAUGCGUAGCCGACCUGAGAGGGUGAUCGGCCACACUGGAACUGAGACACGGUCCAGACUCCUACGGGAGGCAGCAGUAGGGAAUCUUCCGCAAUGGGCGAAAGCCUGACGGAGCAACGCCGCGUGAGUGAUGAAGGUCUUCGGAUCGUAAAACUCUGUUAUUAGGGAAGAACAAAUGUGUAAGUAACUAUGCACGUCUUGACGGUACCUAAUCAGAAAGCCACGGCUAACUACGUG
rnacentral:rRNA from 1 species